GACGAACCGUACGAACGUUAUUCGGAAUCACUGGGCUUAAAGGGCGCGUAGGCGGUCGAUCAAGUCAGGGGUGAAAUCCUGCAGCUUAACUGUAGAAGUGCCUUUGAUACUGGUCGUCUCGAGGGAGGUAGGGGUGUGUGGAACUUCCAGUGGAGCGGUGAAAUGCGUUGAUAUUGGAAGGAACGCCGGAGGCGAAAGCGACGCACUGGACCUCUUCUGACGCUGAGGCGCGAAAGCUAGGGGAGCAAACGGG
rnacentral:rRNA from 1 species